AGUGAACGCUGGCGGUAGGCCUAACACAUGCAAGUCGAACGGCAGCACAGUAAGAGCUUGCUCUUACGGGUGGCGAGUGGCGGACGGGUGAGGAAUACAUCGGAAUCUACUUUUUCGUGGGGGAUAACGUAGGGAAACUUACGCUAAUACCGCAUACGACCUACGGGUGAAAGCAGGGGAUCUUCGGACCUUGCGCGAUUGAAUGAGCCGAUGUCGGAUUAGCUAGUUGGCGGGGUAAAGGCCCACCAAGGCGACGAUCCGUAGCUGGUCUGAGAGGAUGAUCAGCCACACUGGAACUGAGACACGGUCCAGACUCCGACGGGAGGCAGCAGUGGGGAAUAUUGGACAAGGGGCGCAAGCCUGAUCCAGCCAUACCGCGUGGGUGAAGAAGGCCUGCGGGUUGUAAAGCCCUUUUGUUGGGAAAGAAAAGCAGCAGGUUAAUACCCCGCUGUUCUGACGGUACCCAAAGAAUAAGCACCGGCUAACUUCGU
rnacentral:rRNA from 1 species